rnacentral:misc_RNA from 1 species
CACCGUAGCUACAGGGAUACAUAUACACAUAUAUAUGUAUGCGUAAACAGGUCGUCACAGGCACACACACACCAGUGGAAUAAAGACGACCGAUACACGUGAAAACAUACAAGGCUGAGGGCCAAGGUCCAAGUUGGGCACCACAAUGGACUGGGAUCGACCUAGUGGAAAGCGGCGGCGCACAGAUGAGGAGGAAGCGUGUGAAGCGUUGGGUGGGCUGCUGCGACAAACGGCCUCACGUGCGAUGGAGCGGGUGCGCCUGCAGCGACAGCAGCGCGGCUGGGAAAGCCAACUGACCGCCCUCUCCUCCUCUGCCGCCGCCGCCGUGGCGCGCAGUGUGAAGCCGAUGGACGUGCUUGUGAUUCGGUUCUGCAUGCACUAUUUGGACUGUAGCAAGGUGGCCGCGGCGAAUCAUUUCGUGCGGCUUGCGCAGGAGGUUGUGACGUCCAGCAUCGAGCGGGUACUGGUGCCGCAGCUGUUCAGCCGCGAUGGCAGCUCUCUUCCGGCGCUGUGCGAGAGUCUCGUCGCAGAGCACACCGCCGAGGACAUUCAGGUGACAGUGAAGGAGGUUUCAGAGUUUGUCGAGGCCCGCGGUGCCCUUGGUGCCUGGAUCGCCGACGCGACGGCCACUCGCGGCGAUCGUGAUGAUGACGACUAUGACGACGCCGACAACUACGGCAGUGGCUACUACGACCACUCGCGCUCGCGUGACCGCGAUGAUGGAUACUCUCGCUUCACCAACGAGGAGGGCGAGGACCAUGGGGCAGAGGACGAUGGCAGAUCGGCAAGCCCACACCAGGACGCCGAGGACUUUGCUCUGGCCACCACGUUGUAUCAAGCUUGCGAGUUUUGGGUCCGUGUACAGGCCUUUCUGAACUCCUUGUCGCUGCACAGCGCUCGCCUGCACGUCUUCGCAAUGCCGCCACGGUACGAGCGGGAGCUGCUUCUUCUCCUGUACGCUGCGACCCGUGGCGGCGGCGGCGGUGGCGAGGCGUCGCGGGAAGGCGAAAGCAACGGGGGCAGGACCACACCGGCAGAGGGCGCGUCGCUAUCCUCGUCGGCCAACGCAGCGGCAGCGAAGGCCGAAGCGAAGGAGACCAUCAAGCAUGAGCCGAUGUGGGACGGUGACGGGGAGGUGGCGGCACAGGUGGUCGGUGAGGGCGGUACGGACGACGAGGGCGCUGAGCAGACGGAGGCAUCGGCGGGUCCGCGUCAGCCGCAGCAGCUGUACAAGGCUUCUGCCCUGCUUGCCGACGUUUUGGCGCUCUCUCGCUGCCCCGAAGCCCCCACGGGGUCGUCUUCGUCACCUACCGGCACUGCUUCAGAUCCAGCUUUGAUAUCGUCGCCGUUGUCAGCGGCCGCGCCGCGGAUCAGCGCCGAGGCCAUGCAGCGCCUCCGAGGGCUCAACUCGAACUUUUACAAGAUGGUGUACGCGCGGCUUGGCGUGAUGGUGGCGCGUGAUCGCCUCCACAGCUUUGACCGGGAUUCCGCCAUCACUCCACCCGAGUUCACCGUGCAGCAGCGCAACCUUCGCGAGCAGCUGGCCCAGCAGGAGCAGCAGCAGCAAUACAAGGCAGACUUGAUGUCCGCCGCCCUGGGUAUUCCUGGGCAGCCAGAGGCCGGACUACCGGCUGCCUAUGUGCCGGACGAUGCCUACUACGAGAAGCUCUUGCAUCAACAGCACGACACGAUCGACGAGGACGAGGAGGUGUACAAGGGAGAGGUGAUGGACUACUACCUUUCUCACCCCAAUCGCCCCGGCGCCGCGACGGGGUCGCCGUCGAAUUACUCGCGCUCUCGCUCGCACCACGGCGGCUCCUCUGCACGCGGCGGCGAGGCGGAGCCGCUGAUGAAGCCGCAUCGCUUCUGCAAGGUCAAGACGGGAUUCACGUGGACGCAGUACAACCGCACCCACUACGACAGUCGCACUAACCCGCCGCCGCGGACGGAGAUGUGGUACGAGUUCACUUUAUUUUACCCAGCUCUCGCGAACACGAAACGCGACAUGCGGCACAUAUUCCGCAUCGAGGACACACCCGAGGGGCCGAACGACCAGUACUGCCUCCUCGUCUUCAGUGUCGGCCCGCCGUACGCCGAUGUGGCGUACCGCAUCCGUAAGAAGCAGUGGGACACCCGCCGCGGCGGGGUGCGCAUCAGCUUCGAUCAGUACGGCCGCUACAAACUCUUCUUUCGCUUCACCAACAGCAACUACCGACGCUGAUGGUCUUCAAGGGGCAACGCUAAACACGAAGAGCGAGAAAACGGUGCACGUAAGUGACUUGCGCUUCUCCGUGUAUCUGUCGCUGCGUGUGUAUGUAUGCGCGCGUGUGUGUGUGCACGUGCGCCAUCAGCGUCGAGCGCCAUGUUUCGAUAAUAUGCACUCCUGCUUUUCCGACGUUGCGCCUUGAGCACGGGCGAGAGGAGAGAAAGUAUGCCGGUGGAUGGGUGUGUGGGCUGCGGCUGGGGCGUAGCGGUGCUGGCGGUGGUGACUGAUGACCAAGGCGCAACCGCUACAUGCCGUUACCCCGCCAUGCGCGCGUUAGGUGCAACAGGCGACAACAUGCACACAAAGUUUCUCUACCGUGGCGUUAUGCGCGCGUGUUGUCGUCUUUUCCCUCUGUGACCCGUCCACUCGGUGAACUGUCUGACUCCGCCCCUCCCCUUCUCUCUCUGUGACUCUCUCCUCGCCUCCUUUUUCUUCUGUUGUUGGUGCCGUGUAUGUUGAGCACACGCACACACGCACACGCGCAG